rnacentral:rRNA from 1 species
GACGAACGCUGGCGGCGUGCUUAACACAUGCAAGUCGAACGGAAAGGCCCUGCUUUUGUGGGGUGCUCGAGUGGCGAACGGGUGAGUAACACGUGAGUAACCUGCCCUUGACUUUGGGAUAACUUCAGGAAACUGGGGCUAAUACCGGAUAGGAGCUCCUGCUGCAUGGUGGGGGUUGGAAAGUUUCGGCGGUUGGGGAUGGACUCGCGGCUUAUCAGCUUGUUGGUGGGGUAGUGGCUUACCAAGGCUUUGACGGGUAGCCGGCCUGAGAGGGUGACCGGCCACAUUGGGACUGAGAUACGGCCCAGACUCCUACGGGAGGCAGCAGUGGGGAAUAUUGCACAAUGGGCGGAAGCCUGAUGCAGCAACGCCGCGUGCGGGAUGACGGCCUUCGGGUUGUAAACCGCUUUCGCCUGUGACGAAGCGUGAGUGACGGUAAUGGGUAAAGAAGCACCGGCUAACUACGUGCCAGCAGCCGCGGUGAUACGUAGGGUGCGAGCGUUGUCCGGAUUUAUUGGGCGUAAAGGGCUCGUAGGUGGUUGAUCGCGUCGGAAGUGUAAUCUUGGGGCUUAACCCUGAGCGUGCUUUCGAUACGGGUUGACUUGAGGAAGGUAGGGGAGAAUGGAAUUCCUGGUGGAGCGGUGGAAUGCGCAGAUAUCAGGAGGAACACCAGUGGCGAAGGCGGUUCUCUGGGCCUUUCCUGACGCUGAGGAGCGAAAGCGUGGGGAGCGAACAGGCUUAGAUACCCUGGUAGUCCACGCUGUAAACGGUGGGUACUAGGUGUGGGGUCCAUUCCACGGGUUCCGUGCCGUAGCUAACGCUUUAGGUACCCCGCCUGGGGAGUACGGCCGCAAGGCUAAAACUCAAAGGAAUUGACGGGGCCCCGCACAAGCGGCGGAGCAUGCGGAUUAAUUCGAUGCAACGCGUAGAACCUUACCUGGGUUUGACAUGGAUCGGGAGUGCUCAGAGAUGGGUGUGCCUCUUUUGGGGUCGGUUCACAGGUGGUGCAUGCCUGUCGUCAGCUCGUGUCGUGAGAUGUUGGGUUAAGUCCCGCAACGAGCGCAACCCUUGUUCACUGUUGCCAGCACGUUAUGGUGGGGACUCAGUGGAGACCGCCGGGGUCAACUCGGAGGAAGGUGGGGAUGACGUCAAGUCCUCAUGCCCCUUAUGUCCAGGGCUUCACGCAUGCUACAAUGGCUGGUACAGAGAGUGGCGAGCCUGUGAGGGUGAGCGAAUCUCGGAAAGCCGGUCUCAGUUCGGAUUGGGGUCUGCAACUCGACCUCAUGAAGUCGGAGUCGCUAGUAAUCGCAGAUCAGCAACGCUGCGGUGAAUACGUUCCCGGG